AUCUCUUCUCUGCCGCUGGCGUAGGGGCGGGGGCGGGGGACAGUGUCUUCAGCAAAAGUCUGCGGAUAGAAAGGCCCCGCUCCUGUCCGGACAGCAGGAAUGGGAGAGCCGCCUCCAACCCCAGCCCCAUGGAGCAGGGCAGAAACGCUGCCCACUGCCCUGCUCCUGCCACCAGGAAGGGCGUGUGGGGGGCCACUUUCUGUAAAGAAGAAACCGCCUGAACAACAAGUGGCUCAAGGCACCCUUGUCUAACGACCAGGGACACUGAGCGCCAGGGCCCAAGUCACCAGCAAGAGAAAACCCAGGCGGAGCCCAGGGUGUCCCCCACUGCCCACCAGCCACUGCGGUCAACGUGAAGGGCAAGGGUGCAAGCGGGAUCGCGUCACAGGGAGCCGAGUGAGCCCAGAAAGUAGGAGAAGGACGUUUCCACCCACCUGGAGCGCAGUCCGUUUGCAGCCGGCGGCAGAAUGCUGCUGUCUCCAUCAAUAAAGUCCAUGUUAGCCACCUAGAGGAUAAAAUACCACGAGGAGGAGUAGCAAGGUGCCCCUGUUGACAGAUCUUGAAGCACAAGCUCACUCCCAGAAGCACAGCUGCCUAGUCAACAAACAGCUGACAAUACAUGUCUGAAGGAGCUCAGCUGGGAACAGAAGAAUGGCCCCACUGAGCCUAGCCUAAAUGGCGGACCAUCUCAAUUAUGAGCUAAUAAGUUUUGGAUGAUUUGUUAUGCUGCCAUACCUAACUAAUACAUGCACCCAGUGCAGAUUGGGUGUCAAGAUUUAAAGACAGUUUGAUUAUUAGUCACCUUCUAACAAUGGGCACCCUAAAGGUACUGACAUUUUUCCCGAUUUAAAGUUAAAUGUCUUGUAAGGCAAUGUUGACUGAUGCAGGAAUACUUGUAGACAUGUAUGCAUGUGAUUGGUGCUUAUAUGCACACAGUCCCCCACACCACAGGAAAAAACCGAUGACCAGAGCCUGACCAUUAUGGCCAAGGCCAAAUAGCCAAAGUUUGCCUUUAAUCUAUUUUCUUCAUAUCUAAAAAUUGGAGGUCAAUACUGUGGACAGGUCUGAAGACAUAGAGUUUUGUUCUCCUGUGGCCCCAUCAUUCUUCAGUGGUCUACCUGUGGUUAUUUUAUUCUUGUUACCUUCUGCUCUUUCUAUGACCACUAUCUGUUCCACCCUUGAAACUGAAGACAGAUGUUAGUAGAAAGAGGCUGUUCCCUCAUGUCGGGCAUGUGGGAUACGAUGAGGUUUCUCUUCAAAUAGCCUGAUCAAUCUUUUAUUCUUUAAUUCAUAGUACCCACACACACACCCCUUUUUUUCCUUUUUCUCCUUUUUCCUUUCUGCCUUUGUUAGAUGCCCAGGCACGCCACAGUACCAGGCAUUAUCAGUACCAGCUCACAUUUCUUCCCUUAUUUGGAAAGAGGACUAACUUUCUAGCUCAAUGCAGACACCCCUUCCCCUUCCUCUCUGCAUUCUUUUGCAUGCCCACCUUAUCUAAAAAAAUCAAAUGUUUAGCCAACCAGGAUUAGUUCAGAUUGUACGACCCGACCCUGGCCAAUGGGGAAAGGGUACAGGGGCAGGACUUGUGUCAGGAAUAAAGGCUCUUGUGCCCCUUUGUUCAGGUGUGCUCUCAUGGUGACUGGACAAGAACGCACCCCUCUGUGCAGAACUAAAAUUGCUUUGCUAGGAAUCCUUUGUUCGAGUGUUCAAUUUCCUUAUGAUUUUGAGCGUUAUUCCUAACAGGAAGAAAAGGGAUAUUCAGGCCUUUCACAGACCUGACAACAGAGCUGCACUUCAAUGUGACAGGUAUUGACCAUGUGUGACUCCUGGGAGCCUGGAAUGUGGCUGGUCUGAGCUGCAAUUUGCAAGAAAGGUAAAAUGCAGAGUUAGUUUCAAAGAUUUAGUUCCAUAAAUAUAAAAAUAUACAACAUAUAGAUAAAAAUAUCUAUAUAUAAUAUGGAUAAAAAUACAUAGCAUAAUGCAAUAUAUAGAUACAUAAUUAUGUUAUAUAUAAAUAUAUAUCUCAUUCAUAAUUAUACAUUGC
rnacentral:lncRNA from 1 species